rnacentral:rRNA from 1 species
AUACGUAGGUGGCAAGCGUUGUCCGGAAUUAUUGGGCGUAAAGCGCGCGCAGGUGGUUCCUUAAGUCUGAUGUGAAAGCCCCCGGCUCACCCGGGGAGGGUCAUUGGAAACUGGGGAACUUGAGUGCGGAAGAGGAUAGUGGCAUUCCAAGUGUAGCGGUGAAAUGCGUAGAGAUUUGGAGGAACACCAGUGGCGAAGGCGACGGUCUGGUCUGUAACUGACACUGAGGCGCGAAAGCGUGGGGAGCAAACAGGAUUAGAUACCCUGGUAGUCCACGCCGUAAACGAUGAGUGCUAAGUGUUGGGGGGUUUCCGCCCCUCAGUGCUGCAGCUAACGCAUUAAGCACUCCGCCUGGGGAGUACGGUCGCAAGACUGAAACUCAAAUGAAUUGGCGGGG